GAAAAAAGGAGGAUUACGUAAAAACCAAUUUCUCAUUUGUUUCUCUUUGACUUUGUUGCCUCAACCUUAGUAAAUGUUUUGUCGGGGCACAGGAAAAAUUUAUAAACAAGUGAUUUUCCCCAUAAAGGAUCUAAGCGCGAAACAGCAGGUGGCCAUCGUAUAUAGGAUGGAACCUUCGUUCCGGUAUUCAUGGGACUCUGGCUUUUUGCGAUUAACGAAAAAGAGUUUCUAGGAGUCUGUGAUUUUAAGCACAAAGAAUACGUCCGACUACCCGACGGUCCAAUCCAAUUUUGCCUUUUAACCACCUCAGAAGAGACGCCGAAGAACCGGGUGACACUUCGUCAAGAAGCCAGCGGCCUUUUAAGAUGCGAUUAAACGUGUCUUUUUCUAGAAACCGACCUUAAGGAUACCUGCGGGACGUUCCAACAACCUGCCCGGAGGACCUUGCAAGGAAAACGGACCCUUUUUACUAUAAUGUAAGAAGAAGUAAAGUGGACCCCAUGAAAUCAAAAGACACAGAAGAUAGAAAAGGCCAAUUCGGCGUGGAACAGGUAAACGGAAGGCAGGACGCGAGGGUUUCCGGUUCAUUCAGUGUUUCUUUGUGUUGGUGGAUACUUUGAAAAAGUCAAAAAGCUACGGAAGAGGGCGGUGCCACGAGGUCUCUUCUUCAAGGGUGGACCGAAAGUUCCAUGGGAUUUAUCAUCGGAAUAAAUUCCGCCGUGAAAUAGGUUAGCUUUAGCCGCAGUAAAGAACAGUUGCGCAGUGGGCUACUGCGCAUCUUGAAUCAUAUGCUACGCCGCUACCUGAGUCGACCAGUCUAAUUCUGUUAGAAUCAAGUUUAAGGAAGAAGGAAUGGAAGAAAAAGGAAGAGCAACUUCAGCCUCGGCAAUCGAGGAACAUUUGCCUUGCUCCCACGACUGUUUGGCGAUAGCUGUGCCAACUUGUUUCGAGCACGCAAUCCAAUUUGUCUACGUCUCGUUGCUUUACUGCUUCGUCGUCUCCCGCCACUUGGUACUUCGUCAUACAAGGUACACAAGGCACUGUAUGGGAGCUCGAUUGAUUUUUACUGGCGCACUUGUACUUAAAGUACUGUACAUAACCUAACCUACGAAGGACGGUCUAGUCGGCGACGUUCAGGUGCGGCAAAACGUGCUACGCUCAAUGGAUGCUCACCCAUUUAGUGUACCUGCAAAUAAAAUAAUCCAAAGUAUACUUUGGCAACUCUAUUCAAGCGAUUUACCUGUCUGUGUGGUCUCUGGAAGAAGGGAUCCAUUUUCAGCAUCCCCAUGAAUUUGACAUGAAAUCAUUUGUCAAAAAAAAAAAAUGCCACACGAAAUUCAAAUUGACCAUGGGAAAGAACCUGACAGGAAUAAUUUUGAGAAUCCGUACAUCCAAUCGACCCGAAUAUCGUGACUCUUCGUUGACUAUUAAUUUCUCUCUAUUAUCUAUCAAGAAACGAUACGUAAUCAGUACCAAUCAAUUGAUAUAAUUGGAUAACAAGAUAUCUAUAAUAUAUCCAAUGCCCUGUGUGUAGCGACGCAUUGGCGUAACUCAGGACUUCUUUAGUAACAAGAUACACACGCUAUACCUCGUUCUUGUAAAAGGGCGCGAGUUUCUCCAAGUUACAAGAGAUGGAGAAAAAAAAUACUAUUGAGUUUUACGUUCAUUCAUGAAGUCUUUGACAAAGGCCCAGCGGGCCCAAGACACAUGAAUGAACGUAGUAAGGUCUCGUAGUAGAAAACCCGACGGGGCACCUCAAGGGCCCUCACUGAGUGAAUAAGGCCCCUAAGAAAUCACGGGGUCAAACGUGACCCAAACUUUGCACGGCUAGUUAAGUCGCAUACUUUAAGAAACAUUUAAGAAGUUAUUUCAAGAAUCAUGGUUACACUAAUAUAUAUGUAUAUAUAUAUAUUAUCCCAAGGUAUCCUUUAAUUUUUUCUUCUCUUAAUAAUUUUUUUACCCUUAAUACAUCAACUUAACUACACUGUCCUGAUUAUGGCAAUGAUUUUUUAUAAUUGGGCUAAAAAACUGAAAACGAUAUUAAGAAAUCUGAUUGUUCUGGUAAGAGUAAGCGGGUGAUUAGGUUUGGAUUAUUCUGAAAUUUAUCGUGGAAACCAACAGGUGCUUGCAGCUGGGCCUUUUCCGCUGUGAGGUGUAACAAGGCGUACCACUCUACGCCGAGGAUUCACCCUCAACAUGCGUGACGGUUCUUAAACGUUUACUUCCGGUUAGCCUGGUAUCAUCCAAAUCGAAUGCGUUAACCUUACCUGUAAUCAUCCUCAUUGCUAACAUAAUCUGGAGGAAUCAGAUGCCAGGAAGCAUCAUAACAUUCAUCGUAUCCAGUAGCCAUUUUUUCCCUGUCGGAUAUCGAGUCUACGUCGUACUGUGGUAUUCCGAAAAUUCGUUGAGUUCUUCAAUCACCAGGAAUUGUCAGUUUCACGUAAAACGAUAUUACAGUCGGAAACGACUGAUCUUUGGGGAAAAGUCCAUCAGAAUGUCGUUUUCUGUUUGGUGUCCCUUUUCGAAAAUGAAAAUUUUCUUGGCCGUCGGAUCGUCGAUGUUCCGAUUGUCGGUAGUCCACCACGUUUUUCUUAUUUCUUUUAAUUCGCUUUCACUCUUUGUAUUACACGAGCUUUUAUAUAAUUUAUAAUAAUUGAUUUUAUCAGACUUUUCAUUAAUACAAAGAAAUUAGCCGAUUCGUUUACAAAUUGUCGUGAUACCUUAUUCUUUACGACCGUGGUACGAUAGCGUGGAAUAUUUAGACUGGAUUUAGUUUUGAGAUAGGAAUAAAAGCACACGGUCAACUAAUCAUGAUCUAGCGAUCUCUGACUGGUAUAACUUAGUGCAACAAAUAGCUUAGCUAGUCCUAAGAAAAGUAUCUGUACGAGGUUAACGGUUGUGCUCGUAUUACCACACUGGAAAGUAUAGCUAAUACAUUGAUCACCUAUAUAUUGCAUCGAAAAUAUGGCUACCAGAUAGGAGCGCUGGCAACGUUAUCUGUUUGAUAACACCCUAUAUAGAUUAGUGUCACUACUGCAAGAUGUAACAGCAUACGGAACCCCAAAUAUCGAAUGUUAUAAACUCGACAAAGACAGUCAAUGGACCGUAAUAAAAUUUAGCAAAGAUUGCA